CCUACGGGAGGCAGCAGUGAGGAAUAUUGGUCAAUGGACGCAAGUCUGAACCAGCCAUGCCGCGUGCAGGAAGACGGCUCUAUGAGUUGUAAACUGCUUUUGUACGAGGGUAAACGCAGAUACGCGUAUCUGUCUGAAAGUAUCGUACGAAUAAGGAUCGGCUAACUCCGUGCCAGCAGCCGCGGUAAUACGGAGGAUUCAAGCGUUAUCCGGAUUUAUUGGGUUUAAAGGGUGCGUAGGCGGUCGGAUAAGUUAGAGGUGAAAUCCCGCGGCUCAACUUCGGAAUUGCCUCUGAUACUGUACGGCUAGAGAGUAGUUGCGGUAGGCGGAAUGUAUGGUGUAGCGGUGAAAUGCUUAGAGAUCAUACAGAACACCGAUUGCGAAGGCAGCUUACCAAGCUACUUCUGACGUUGAGGCACGAAAGCGUGGGGAGCAAACAGGAUUAGAUACCCCAGUAGUC
rnacentral:rRNA from 1 species